AUUUAGAAGACACAAUAAAUGAAAACUGGACAUUUCCCUAUUGGUUGAAUAAGUUGUGUUUUUUUUUGGCUCAGGGUUGGGGGAGAUCCAAGAUUAUGUCAUGCAAAAAGAUGAAUAUGACCUAUCACACAGUUCGUGCUGCAUUUAGUUUCAUAUUUUGUGACUCAGAUCUGUGAAAGAUCCAGAUAAGAGGUGUUUGUUUUAUUUCUUUUUUCCUUAAAGUGUUUUACUUCUUUUCUAGAUUGGCCAGGUGAAACAGGAGCUGUCCAGAAAGGACACAGAACUACUCGCCCUGCAGACAAAGCUAGAAACACUCACAAACCAGUUCUCAGAUAGUAAACAGCACAUUGAAGUGUUGAAGGAGUCCUUGACUGCUAAGGAGCAGAGGGCUGCCAUCCUGCAGACUGAGGUGGAUGCUCUCCGAUUGCGUUUGGAAGAGAAGGAAACCAUGUUGAAUAAAAAGACAAAACAAAUUCAGGAUAUGGCUGAAGAGAAGGGGACACAAGCUGGAGAGAUACAUGACCUCAAGG
rnacentral:sRNA from 1 species